UGUGUAUGUGUGGGUGCAUACAUAUAUGGAUGUGUAUGUACACACACACACACACACACACACACACAACAUG
rnacentral:miRNA from 1 species